GGGGAUGAAAGGAUUUCGACUGGGGUCAAGACCCAGGGUAAGCGGGUAGCGGUGCCAGACCGCUUCAACAACCGGCAACUUAAAAAUUAACUGACAAAAACAGUAAAGUUUUAGCUGCUGCCUAAGUGCACAGCCGUUCUCUUCGGGAGCGCCGCGGCCUGAAAGAGAGCGUCGUUUAGCGGCGUCCGUGAACAAAGGUUUUUUCCGCCCUUUGUCAUGCAAUAGGGAAUACCGUAACCAAAAGCCUGUCCGCCGGCGUUUGGCGAGGGGAAUCCUAAAAGACGGAAUACACCCGUAGAAAAUCCUGCAGACGGAUUUCAGGACAGGGGUUCGACUCCCCUCAUCUCCACCA
rnacentral:tmRNA from 2 species